rnacentral:lncRNA from 1 species
GAUCAAUCUCUCUCUCUCUCUCUCUCUCUCUCUCUCUCUCUCUCUCUCUCUCUCUCUCUCUCUCUCUCUCUCUCUCUCUCUCUCUCUCUCUCUCUCUCUCUCUCUCUCUCUCUCUCUCUCUCUCUUUCUCUCUCUCUCUCUCUUAGCUUUUAGAAGCGACGAAACAAAACUAAAGAGAACGAGAAGAUGCUGCUCGUGUUUCUCCCAAAAAAUUGAACCAAAUUGAUCAAUUACGAAACUGAACUAGUUAACCGCCCAAUAACCGUUGUCAAUCGACAACUGUCCAAAACAUAGACACGGGGGUUAUAAUUAUUUCCUACUAACAUAGAUUCAUUCUCGAAUCUAGCAACAACGUUUAUCUGACAUGAAAUAACAACCAACCGUUACCACGGUGGCACGGUCCAACAAUAGUUGACCAAAACCGACCAACACACCAAUCCCAAGAUUGAACUAAUCAUCAACCUUUGAGCACAUCUGGUAUAUGGGAACUAAUCAUCCCCUAUAAGAACUAAUCAUCUCAUAUGCCACUCUCACGUCGCAAUUUUCGAGUCAGCUGUACAUCAGGGGAAUUAAUCAUCUCGUCAAGGGAAAUAUCAUCCCCUCAGGAGUUGUUUAAAGAACUCACAUCCUCAAGAGCAAUUGUCUAAACGCCUCCCAACAUCUCUAGACUAUAAUUACCUCAUGCGGCCUCUGUACAACAUCACAAUGUCAUACCCACCACCCGUAUUCUCUCACUUGAAAAUCAUCUCAACCUUGACCCUCUCCUCAUGUCAGCUCCCAAAUAUCCCACUAUUCAGGGUGUUUACACAAACUUUUCUAAAAUAGAUAAGUCUAAACUUUUAAUAAAACUUUCAUUUUCAGGAAACUUUUAAACACACUCUUAUUAACUCCACAAAUCAUAAGAUUACACACCUUAUUAAUCCCUAAAAUGUAAUAAUGUUACAAAAAAAAAAAAUACAUGAGAAAAAUAAGAUCAACAUCACGCUCUAAAACUAGAACCCAGAAUGAUAAGCUUAUUCCUCGGCUUGCUUCUCAAACCACUUACUGAAUCUAGCUUUGAUCCUCGCCUCUGGUUCCAAGUUUACUCUAGAAUGCCAACAUAGUUUUAUUGGACUCUCAUCCAAGAAAUCUUCUUACGAUGAAGUUCCUUAAACAUGACUUUUCUCGCCUCCAGGGUCAUGUUGGGCUGAAAAUCCGCAAGAAUAUUAGCCAAUACCUCAUCAUCUUUAUGCAAGCACCUUGUGAAAUGCUUGCAUAACCUCGAGUAACUCUAACAGAUACGCAACCGGUCCAACCCACUCAACAAUCCCGAAAGGACCCAUAUACCUCAGACUCAACUUAGUCAUCCCUUGAGCCAUACUCGUAAAACCCUUGACGAACUUCCGAUAAUAACCAACUAACCCGAGAAAACUCUAGAUCUCGGUAGCAUUUGUUAAGUGUAGGUCAUCACUGAUAGCCUUAAUCUUCUCUGGAUCUAUAGAAACCCCUUUCUCUGAGAUAAUGUAACUAAUAAAACAAACUUCCUGUUGCCAGAAACUGCACUUGCUUAAAUUAGCAUAUAGCUUCUCCAACACGAUCCGCAAAUGAACCCUGUGCUCCUCAGCACUUUUAGAAAACACCAAGAUGUCGUCGAUGGAAAUGAUCACAAACUCAUCCAGAUAGUCUUGAAAUACAUUAUUCAUCAACCUCAUGAACACCGCUGUUGCAUUUGUCAACCCAAAUGGCAUCACGAAAAACUCGUAGUGUCCAUACGUCGUCCGUAACACCGUCUUUUCAACAUCCUCUUUAUCCAUCGUGAUCUGAUGAUAAUUUGACGCCAAUCAAUCUUGGAGAGCCCUUCUCAAUUGACCCAACAAUUCAUCCAUCUACGGUAAAGGGUACAUAUUCUUCACAGUGACAUGGUUCAACCCUCGGUAGUCGAUACACAACUGAAAACUACCAGCCUUCUUCUUCACAAACAACACUAAUGCUCCCCACGGUGAAAAAUUCGGUCGGAUAAAACCCUUAUCCUGCAACUCCACCAGCUGCCUCUUCAGCUCUACUAGAGCCAUCUGGUAGGACGCAUUCAACAACGGUGUCGUCCUAGGUUCCAAUUACUCAAUCAUGAAAAAAUUUGGCCGAGACGGUGGCAAUUCCUACAACGAUUGUAACACAUCCCUGAACUCCUGAAUGAGCCGAAUAUGCUUGACCUCUUCAAGUGUGUCCGGAGUACUGAUCCUCAUCAAGUACACCUCAUGACCCUUCCCGAUUAACUUUUCUGCCUACCUGGCUGAUACUACGAGACUCCCGGAGGUAGGUCUCACACUAUGAUAAACUAACUCCCCUUUCUCUCGUUAGAACAAAACAUGACCCCGAAGACAAUCAAACUGCACUCUAUACUGAACCAGCCAAUCCAUCCCAAUGAUGACUCAUACAACACCACUACAGACACCAACAAGUUUAUCGGCAUAGACUCACAACCACCUAAAUAUCUACGUUUCUAGCCGGACUGUAGAUAAUCAGAAGUCUAUCUCCAGCAAUCCAACCAGCCUCUCCCUGCUCACUGGAAAACUCGUAGAACCUACCCUAUUCUACUAUUUCAGGUGUCACAAAGCUAUGCGACGCUCUGGAGUCAACAACACGGGAUAUAAUACACCUCUCAUGGCCAGCGUCCCUAAAAAAGCUCACGAGCUAAGAAACCCUAACAACCGUCCCCACUCCUCUUGGGACAACUCGCCAAUCUAUGAUACCCUCCACCACACCCAUAACAUCCACGAAUACUUUGGCCAUCCUUCAGACGUGAUCGCUCACUUCCCUUUCAGUUUUGACGCUAGCUUAUUGCCCUUGCUCAGAACAACCUACUAUUGAGUCCUCUUCAGCUGGACCGCUGGACUAGCAUCUAAUCAAACCAAUUUGUAAGACAUUGAAAUAAAUAAAAUUUUAUACACAAACAAUGGUAAUUUUGUGUAUAGUUAUAAGCUUACACACAUAUUUGGAUAAAUUUCAACAUUUUUAGUGGUUUUUUUUAUAAAGUUUGAAAAUGGGGCAAAUUAAAAAGUGGUAUUUCAAAAGGAGUAUUAUUCAAAUUCUCCCAAUAUCAUUUCUAUUUUUAUCAUUAAAAAUAUUAUUUUUUUAUCAAAAAAUACUCAAAAGUUCUGAAGAAAAUUACUAUCAAAAUUGAACAAUUAAUCAACGAAUAAAUUUAAGAGAUAUGAAUGUAUGCUUCUAUUGUAAGAUUUAAAUAAAUAAAGUGUAAAAAUGUCAUAAGCAUUGAAAUUUAUUUAUUCUAUUUUUUAUAAGUAAUAAAUAAAUAAAAAUUAAUUAAUUUUAUAUACAACAACCCGCGCAUAUGUGCGGGACAUUACCUAGUAAUCAUAAACACCAAACUGCGAUACUAACUGGUGUCGAUCGACAGUCCCUCUGCAAAAGCCCUAAAAUAGCUUCGCAACUGCCCAAAGGACGAAUUCACCACCUCCAAAUCUCUAGUCAUGAACCCUAACACUCAAUCAUGCAAAACACAACACCCAAAACACACAAACAAGCCACACACAACAAUUUCCAGCCAUCCCAGUCAAUCAAAUACACAUCAGAAGGUCUUAUAUGUCCAUAUCAACAAUGGUCACACACUCACCUUGAUGUGCAUUGAUUGAAUAGAUGAAACAUAGAUGAGACAACAAGAACUAGGCCCUCCUUGCACCACCAGCCACGAAUCUCCUCAAACCCUUGUUUACAACACCAACAUGCAGCCACAAAAACCUCUAGAAACCCCUUUUUCAGCCUCCUUAAACCUUAGGAUCAUGUCUUAGACUCUCUCUUUCUUUCUCUUAGCUUUCAGAUGUGAUAAAACAAAACUAAAGAGAAUAAGAAGAGGCUGCUCGAGUUUUACCUAAUAUGAGUUAGGGUUUCUCUCAACAUUUGAACCAGACUGAUCAAUUUCAGAAUUGAACCGGUUAACUGCCAAAUAACCGGUGGCAAUCAACACCCUUCUUUAGUGUCGAUCGACACCCGUCCAAAACAUGGACACAUGUGUUACAGAGUCUGCUGAUUUGUUUUUUUAACUAUUUCGGUUUUGACUUACAUUUUUACUUGAAUGUGUGUGGAAGAUAUUUCUUAUGAUGGAAAUGAUGGAUCUUUAGUUCACUUAUAUGAAAAUAAAUGUAGAAUCAAUAAUGGAGAUGAAGGAAAAGAUUUGAUGCAAAACCAUGAGCGUGAUCCUAUAGGAACACAAGACCAAUAUUAGAUGUCACAAAUUCCAAUGGAUAUUCAGUCAACACGGAGCACAAAGAUGAAUAGUACACCACCUUUUGGUUGAUAUGAUUUGUCAACCACAAUGGAUUCAUCUCGAAUAACCACAGCCGGAAGCGGUAUAAACAUGAUGUAUAGUUUUUCACUUCAGUCUUUUACCUAUAAGACCACCCGAAAACUAUUAUUGAACAGUAAUCAGUUGUAAAAUUUAACUAUUGAUCCCAUAGAGAGAGGAUAUCUACGGGAAUAACUAAGACGUAAAUAAAAAGGAGGUUUUCGUUUUGGGCUUUCAAAUUUACGAAGGAUUAAAAUAGGUAAGUAAAUGAGGUUGUAAGAUAGUGUCAAAAAAGUUGAAUAUAGGGUUUUGAAAAAAUAAGAGUCGGAUUUAGACUGUUUUGGAUCAAAUCUUGGCAAAAAAUGCAAUUGAGAAGUGAACUGAUUGGUCCACUUCUACAGUCUCAAGAAGUGAUUCUCGUUAAGGGGAAUGGACCGAUCAGUCCUAAUGUGGACAGAUCGGUCUAACACUCUCAGGUUUCUAAUUAUGCAUCUACUUCUACUAAUCUUUAAAAUUAAAUGUCUUCAUUAAGGGGGUGUAACACCCUCGAACCGCCCUAGAACAAAGGAAGAAUCAAAAGCGUCAUGUGCGAUGCCCGUAAACGAUUAACCAAAGUUAGUAAAACAAAUUCAAUACCUUGGUCAGUCCAUCCAAGGGUAUCGUUCCUCUUGAACACGGCAUAAGGCUUUUCAACUCGUACUGUGAUUGCGAGUUGUGUUAGCCCGGACAAGACUAAUAUCUAGUAAAACACAAGGCAUUUGGGAAGUGGCUGUCGGAAAUGUGUGAGUAAGGGCAAAACACACGAAAAGAUCAUGUGGUGAUUUGUAGGGUCGGUAAACAAGUAUUUAAGCCUCCCGGACGUAGCAAACCGACCAUCUGAUAUUGAUGGGCUCAUGGGCCUAGUGAGAGGACGUGAGGCCCAUUAAGAGAGUUGGGCCCAUGAGCUGAGAAUGAACAUGUGGCCCACUGGAGAGGUGACGGUCGGGGCGUUACAAGUGGUAUCAGAGCCGAACCCAGACAAGUGUGGACUGGUGGGCUCACACUAUCAGGGUCCUGAGAGAACUCCACAGUUAAUCGUGCUUAUGGUGGAGUAGUCAAAAGAUGGGUGACCUUCCGGGAAGUGGUUGUCGGAACUGUGUGAGUGAGGCCAGAACACAGGAAAAGAUCAUGUGGUGAGUUGUAGGGUCGGUAAACUAGUAUUUAAGCGUCCCGGACGUAGCAAACCGAUCGUCGGAUAUUGAUGGGCUCAUGGGCCUAGUAAGAGGACGUAAGGCCCAUUAAGAGAAGUGGACCCAUAAGCUGAGAGUGAACAUGGGGCCCAUUAGAGAGGUGACGGUCGGGGCGUUACACAAGCAGUAUAUCGGCUAUACCAACAUUUAGCCUAGCCAUAUAAAAUUGACUAAGAACCUUAAUGGUUAAAUCAACAACAUAACAGUUAUACGAACAGCAUAAUGGCUAUACGAUAGUCUAAGGAUUUUGUCAAUAGCAUAACGGUUAUACUAACGACUAUCACAACCUCAACCAAUAGAUCAACAAAAAUAAAUCAAGAAGAAUGGAAGAUCUAGAACAAACAAUCGAGUCGAUAACAUGUAGAAUCGUAUAUCUAACUUUCAUCCAUAAUUUACACUAAGUAUAAACAUGAAACUUCAAUCAUAAACUAAUACAUCAAAUAAAAUUUAGACAUAUGCUACUACACAUGCUUCGGUACUCACCUUGGCAUUAUUGUCGAGAGAAUGACAUUCUACCCUUGAGUACCUAUUGAUCUCGAUCGGACUAGUUUUCUCCAACGACGGAUCGGAUACCCGACCACGACUCUCGACUCUUCCAACUUCUACCUGACCAGUUUCUCGAAACUAUCUAACCAUCUAACUAGUUUAAGGUAAGGUUUUGUGUUUUGGUGUGGAGAACUAAUGAAUUGAUUUCUGGCUUUAUAUAGGGGAAGGAAGUUUGGCGCCCAAGCUAAGGCAAGCACGAGGUAUUGGAUAAAAUCGAUCCAAAAUCUUAUCUUUAUCCUAUCCACACUUAAGCUUGCGCACACUUACGCAUAACACAAGCCAUUCUCAUCUGGUCGUGUGGCACAAUAUGGUAAGCGUAAGCACCUUCACGGCACAACAGCUUCCAAGCACCUCACUUGGGCCAUCGACCAUUCAUUCUAUUCACUCGCGGUAUAUGUAUGUACCGAAAGCUCUUCCGACUAUUGUACGGUGACAAUGAUCUUUACCUAUUCUAACUUGAAAAAACUUCUAAAUUCCCAAAAAUAAAUGACUAAGUCAUCUAACCACUCUAUAAACCUUGUUUUCUUCGUAUUCGAUCCCAUUCGAUCAUCACUUGCUUGUCUUGGCCUAAAACUACUCCUUCUCGAUAAAACUAGUUUUCUCCUCGACAAAACUGAUCUUUCCCUCAACCAAAUUCCCCGUAAAUAAUCCUCUUAGUAGUUGUUUGACCCUUUCCUUAGAUCAAACUAAUAUCAAUUGUCUCGAUAGCCCUACUGUCUGUUGCCACUAAUAGCCGAUAAAAAUUGAACUCACUUAUGGUUUGAUAUAAAUCAACUCAACCAUUUUUCUUUGAUCAAUUUUUUAGAUAAGACUUGGUUUAUCGAUGGCUCCAUUAAAUUUUUCGGAACGAAAAAUUUUAUGAGUCUCGGCCGCAUUCCUACGACCGUGAUAGUCCGUUCGUAUAGUAUGUCACCGUCAGGGGUAUUACAGGGGGUUAUAUUCAAUCUUGUAAUUUGAGUGAUUUGAGAUUAAUUCAGUUUUCCUUUUAACUCAAACCAAAAUCUCAAAACUCCCCCAUCUAAUUAUAAUUAUUUUUUUCUUUUUAAUUCAAAAUUGAUUAUUUUACUUUCUUACCCUAUAAAAAUCAGACUAAUUACACACAAAAAACAUGGAGUUUAUCCACCUGCCCAUAUUCUGAUUGGAUCUACCUAUAAAAAUAUUUUUAAAAAAAACAAAAAAAAAUAAAAAAAAUCAAAAGCGAAUCUCUAAUUCUAAACAAACGAGCAAACUGCUCUUUCUUUUUCUUCUUCUCUAACUAUUUGAGUUGCAGCAAUUCGAACAAUUAAUUCUCGAGUUCGAUUUGAAUUGGGGUGAAUAAUAAGAAUCAUGCUCAUUCUCUAAUUGUUUUUUUCAGAUUUUAACUAGAUUUCAAUCAAAUGUUGAAACACAAGAGGAACGAUGAAAGAGAAGACCGACCCGGUGGAUCGAGACUUAAUUGUCAACCAGGAGAAUCAAGACUUUACUGUCAACGCUCAUCUACAAAGUUUGUGGCCCGCUCCACUCUUCAGCUCGGCCGAAGUAUAUAUCUCGAUUUCUUGAACGGUUUAGGCUUGCUUCUUAAAUUAGCUUUGGCAUCCCCAGUGAGGUAUAGCUCCCAUAAGUUUUGAGUACCCCUAGGUAACCCAUCUAGGUCUUUAUUCAAAGAACAAGAAUGUUGGAAGAUCCUCUAUGAAUUUGUUUAAAUCCUAUAUGUCGGUGGCACAAUUCAAGCAGAAAACAAGCACAUACACCUUUUUGUUUGGCAUCAAGUCUUUGCCAAAAGAAUUCACUCAUCAAUUUUGUUAAUGGCAGGAGUUAUUCUUGGCCCAUUACUUGUGUCUUUGUCAGGGAGUGUGUCGAGGACGCAUGGCAGUUCCUUCCCCUGGGGUGAUAGCUUCCUUAGUGAGAAACAUUCUCAAUCAACUACAAAACUUUCCGUCUUUAAACCUAAUCAGCCUACAUCUCAACUCUGCCGAACCUUAUUGAAGAACCAACCUUAAUACAUUCAGUCUAACUCUUUCUCAAGGUCUUUUAAAUCAUUUUAUCGUGGUCACCACUCUUUUCUUGCAUCAUUCAGUUGGCUAUGAUCUUGUGAUUAUCUUUGGUGAUCUCGACAAAACUUCUCCGGCAUUUGGAAUAUGUUUAUGCUGGUAGCCUCCUCCUUGGAGAAAAUUUUGAAAAGCUCUUAUGGGUCAACCGCGCGAGCUUUUUAAUGCCAUCAGUUUGUCGAGGACUUCUUGAAGGUCGUCUUCACUUAUGAAUCCUCCAUGGUUCCCAAUGAUUUUUCAAACAUAGCAAGCUUCAAAAAGUUGAGCAUCUCCUUGGAAAAUCCCAUUGAGCCUUUAUAUUUAUUCUCUUUGUAUUGCAUUAGCUUCAAGUUGUAUGAAUUUCCCUCAUUUCAGGUUUAAAGUGAAUAAAAGUUCUUUUGCCCAAAAAAAAAGUGAUCCAACUCAUGAUUUUGCAUGCCAUGAUAAAUUAUUUGCAUCAUCUUUGGCACUCAAAAACAUAAAGAAACCAAGUAAAUUAAUUGUAAUUGGCCUAGAAGUAUCCCACAUUUCUAUGGAAUUUUACCUUAUGAUACAAUAAACUCUUGUACAUAUAAAGUACUCUAUCUCUGAGUCAAAUGAUGAACAAUUAAGAUUUAAUAUAUAGGGCAUAAAUUGAGGCAUGAAAAAACAUGAAACUAUUAAGAAAUUUUAUAGAACUCAAUUGACUUUGAGUCUUUGAUAAAUUUACAUUUUUCGAAGACUCAGUUUCUAUAGUAAAGGUCUUAAAAUCUGAAACCAUCGUUUGAUGCAGUAAACUUAGGUUUGAUCCAUUGAUAAAACUCUAACUCUAAUUGAUGUAAUGAAUAAUUAGGAUAUGUUAUUGAAUUAUACAGAAAGUAAAUAAAUUAAAGAUUCUAAACGAUUCCUACAGAGUUUUCUAUAAUCUUGUUGAUUUGUUUUUUUCAUAAGCUCGUAAAUUCCAUAAUUUUCUCUGUUUUAAUGAUAAAUUUCAUGAUUUUAUAUUGUGAAGAAAAGUGUAUAGAGUCAUAAACCAAUAACAUAAUAAUUUAAUUUAUUAACAAUUAGAGAUUCUUUUGUUUUAGUUGAAUAAAAAAACUUUUAUUGACUUUAUAAAAUUCAAAGUCAAAUAAUCCCAGAUUAUAAAGAUUUUAGAUGACUCUUUACAAAUUAAAACUAAUAACACCAAACUUUAAAAUAGAUGUAAAAAUACCUUGAUUGAAUAACACUCCAUAACAUUUAAAGUCAUUAAAACACUAUUUAAAUCACAAAACAAUAACACUCCCUUAAUAUUUACAUAUUUUAUUAAUGACUUUAAAAAAAUUAUGUUUUUUCUUUCUAAUUCUUCUUAAAACUUUAAUUAAUAUUGAGAAAUAUGAUAUUAUAUUUUGUUUCUUUUCAUGAUAAUGAUAUUUAUCCGUCUUAAAUAUAGUUUAAAGUAUGCUUAUUAUACAUACAAAAUUAUGUUUCAAGUUUUGAAGGACUAAACCAAAGCUUAUAAGAGAAGAGAGAGAGAGAGAGAGAGAGAGAGAGAGAGAGAGAGAGAGAGAGAGAGAGAGANNNNNNNNNNNNNNNNNNNNNNNNNNNNNNNNNNNNNNNNNNNNNNNNNNNNNNNNNNNNNNNNNNNNNNNNNNNNNNNNNNNNNNNNNNNNNNNNNNNNNNNNNNNNNNNNNNNNNNNNNNNNNNNNNNNNNNNNNNNNNNNNNNNNNNNNNNNNNNNNNNNNNNNNNNNNNNNNNNNNNNNNNNNNNNNNNNNNNNNNNNNNNNNNNNNNNNNNNNNNNNNNNNNNNNNNNNNNNNNNNNNNNNNNNNNNNNNNNNNNNNNNNNNNNNNNNNNNNNNNNNNNNNNNNNNNNNNNNNNNNNNNNNNNNNNNNNNNNNNNNNNNNNNNNNNNNNNNNNNNNNNNNNNNNNNNNNNNNNNNNNNNNNNNNNNNNNNNNNNNNNNNNNNNNNNNNNNNNNNNNNNNNNNNNNNNNNNNNNNNNNNNNNNNNNNNNNNNNNNNNNNNNNNNNNNNNNNNNNNNNNNNNNNNNNNNNNNNNNNNNNNNNNNNNNNNNNNNNNNNNNNNNNNNNNNNNNNNNNNNNNNNNNNNNNNNNNNNNNNNNNNNNNNNNNNNNNNNNNNNNNNNNNNNNNNNNNNNNNNNNNNNNNNNNNNNNNNNNNNNNNNNNNNNNNNNNNNNNNNNNNNNNNNNNNNNNNNNNNNNNNNNNNNNNNNNNNNNNNNNNNNUGCCUAUAAACAAAAGAGAGAGAGAGAGAGAGAGAGAGAGAGAGAGAGAGAGAGAGAGAGAGAGAGAGAGAGAGAGAGAGAGAGAGAGAGAGAGAGAGAGAGAGAGAGAGAGAGAGAGAGAGAGAGAGAGAGAGAGAGAGAGAGAGAGAGAGAGAGAGAGAGAGAAUGGUACCUUGUGUUCUUAAACUUGUGUUCUUAAGUUUCAUUAUUAUUAUAUUUAUCUAAUCCUAAUUUUCUUGAUGUCUCAGUUUACAAAAUUUCUGGUGGUGCAUAAGACUUAAAUGAUAUUGUAAUAUUUCACCAUCUCUUUACCAUAUCUAUAUGUAUUAAGUCAGCAGAUUAUUUAGAUAUUGUGGGAAAACUAUUAUAAAUACUAAUGUUCAAUGAUUAAUAUGUAUGCAGUCAAAAGAAAUGAAUAAUUUUAGUUAUAUAAAAAAGUCUUAUUAAUAAGUUUAUAUGUGUAUAUUAUGUUUAUUGAAUUAUUUUAGUGAACAAACAAAAAUAUUUAAUUUAGCAAAAUUUUUUAUCUGUGUUGGCUAAAUUAAGUAAGGUUGUAUAGUUACGUAGCAAUAUUGAGAAAAGAAGCAAGUGCAAAUUCUUAAAGGGCAAUAUUGAACAAAGAAGCAAGUGCAAAUUCUUAAAAACUUAGAAGAUACUUGAAUUACAACUAUCUGGAAAGUUUGGUAGCUAAAACAUAAAUCCUAGAACAAAAGCAAAAUUCUCCUUACGAGUGAGAGAGAUGAAUCUAGCAAUGCUAAUACAUAAGUGAAUCUAAAGGGUGAAAAUUUCCAGAAAGCAAACUAUAAAGAACAAGCUACAUGAUGAUGAACUACUGAACAAAAACGAUAGAAUGAUAAACUAAGAUGCUAGAACUAAGCAAAGCAAAAAUGAAGAUGAGAUGGAAAUCAAUCAAAGAUAAAUAGCUUUCAGGGAAUAAGGUAAGCAAUCUAUGAAUCCUCCUAAUCUCUAUGGGGUGCUCAAUCAAAACACAAGCAGUGCUAAUCGCUCAACAUUAAGCUUCUAAACCUACUCAGCCAAAUCCCUUGGUGAAGAUUAUCAAACUCGUUACAUUUCCUAAUCUCAUAUCCCUGAUGAAACAUGCAAUGAAUAUGCAGUAUGAAACAUCUUAAUCAUGUCAAAACAUCUCCUAGAAACAUUAUCCCUAAGGCUAAGAAAAUGAAUCUCUCGCAUUAGUUGUUCAUGCAUUUCAUCAAACACCUUCUGGGGCAUGAGGUUCCUGAGAUCUAAUUCUAGUUGAUCAUAAAGAAAUCAGCAUUAACUUCACUAAUCCAGAAGGGAUCUGCAAGAUUCUAGCCCUAAACACCCCCCUAUAGACUAGGAUUCAACACAGAUCUACAUCAUCCCUAAAAGCUAAGAACACUACUUAGAUCUACAAAUUAUAGUAAAAAGCAUAAACCCAGAAAACUCUAAGGAGGAAGAUAAUACAGAUAAGCAACAGCAAAAACUCAAUAGAUCAAGAGAUAAUAAGAUUACAAGUUUCUGGAAAGUUUGUUGGCUACAAAGAAAAACCCUAAUGAAAACUCUAUUUUUGUUCUUAAUGACCAAUGGUCCUUACUUAUAGUGGGUUCUCAAAACCCUAAAACACAAAAUGACAAAAUACUAAGUCGGUCUUAAGUGAGCUGAAUCGGGUGCAAGCUGGACACGUUUGGUUUCACACAGACGGCAUAUUACUCAGACAUACAAGGGCUAUGUCAUUAAUGGACAUAGGUUUCACACAGACGACAUGAAAAGGAAGACAAAAUUGUAGAGUCACAUAUGAAGCUUUUAGUAUGUGUAGAUCCAGUGCCAAGGAUACUAGACAAAAGGCUGAUAUAGUUACACACUAUGGAGUGAUAAAGGAGAUCCUUCUAUUGGACUAUCAUAUGUUCCAAGUUCCCAUAUUCAAGUGUAAGUGGGCCAAUAAAGGGAAUGGUGUUAAAGAAGAAGACUUAUUCACUCUUGUGAACCUCCAUUUAAACCAAUUUGCAUUCCUUCAAGAUCCUUAUAUUCCAGUAGCUCAAGGAGAGCAUAUUUUCUAUUCAAGAGAAGAUGAGUCCUCCCCUUGGUAUAUGGUAAUGAAGGCGCCACCAAGAGAAUUUCACGAGUUAAAGACAGAAGUAGAGUUUUUUUCUGCAUCAGUACCAAUCCAAGAACUUGAAUAUUUGGACAAUCAAUCCUCUAAUGAUUAGAGUUUCUGUGUUAGGAAUGAUUGUGAAGGGGUCUUACUAAUGGAUUAAUAGUGGGUUUGUGACAGUUUAUGUGUUAGUGCUACUAGUAAUGAAACUGAUAUUUCUUAAAAUUAUGUGUUUUGUGAUUGUUAUUAACACUUGGUUGUGUUUGAGGUGAUCCAACAUGUCAACUAAAAGUGAGGACCAAACCUUGUCGCAAGAAACGUCAACUAGGCAUUGACCUGGGUUCUGAAGUAGGAUUGAAGAAACAUAUAAGAGACAAGAAAAAUCAGGUUGAGAUUCCAGAGCAUGAGAAUGUUACUGAUGUACUUGGUUCUGACUUGGCUAACGAGGAGGAACUUGUUAAUGCCUUGUUCAACUUAGUACCAAUGAAAAAAUGGCUGCAAAAGAGUACCGUGAUCAACUUAAUACCAAUGAAGAAGUGGCUUCAGAUGAGGAAGAGAAUAAAGAACCUAGCAAUGAAGAGCUAAUUGUAGAGAAAGAUGGAGAAGAGGAUAUCUCUCAGCCGUGUGAUGUAGAUGAUACUUUGCCUCCUUCCCCUAAAGAAAUUCACACCCAACAGUCAGAUAACAAGCAAAGGAAAACACGAGGACCAACUAGAAUCUGUAAAAUUUCAAAACACCAUGAUGACGAGAUAGAAGUUGAAUUUACAUCUAUUGGUGAACAUAUAGGUGAUGAAUCAGUGACAAUUUCAUCCUUCCUUGGGCCGCUUGUAAGAGAACAUGUACCUGUCUUGCUUGAUGUUUGGAGGCACUUGCCUGAUCAGACUAGAGACACACUAUGGGAAGAGAUUCAGGCAUAAUUUCAUAUUAGAUUUAUAUUAUACUAAUAACAGUUUGUCUUUAACAUUAUUCAUUAUUGUAGGGGAGGUUCAAUUUGAAAGAAGAUUGGCAAAAGGAUGCUGUUUUUAAACAAAUGAGUUCUUUGUGGAGGUUGUCUAAAUCUAAGCUCAUCUCUCGUGUGCGUUCAAUUAAGAGUAAGACAGAAUUAGUUAAGCUAAACCCAAGCAACAUAGAAUCUAUGGCAGCUUGGUAUGCUUGGGUGAAAAGUAGGAAUACAACAGAUUUUGAGUAGGAAUACAAUAGUUUCUUAAUUAUGAUAAAUGAUUGUUCCUAGUAGAUUAUUCAUAAUCUCUUUGAUGGUACUUUCACGAACGAAGUGAUGUUUCGCCUAGAAAUUGAUGAAAGCUCAGAUUCCACACACUACAAGCCGCAAAUGGAUGGUUUGCCUAGCUCAUGAGCUGGUAUAUAUCUAGCUAGUACUUGUUAUUAUAAGAUUAAUACUUGAUUGUCUACUAUAUAUUGAUAUGUCUCAUCUGUAGAAAAAGAAGACUGCUAACCUUAAAACAGUGUCCAGAAGCAAGGUAUGGCUAGCACGACAAACAUAUGCAGAUGGGAGACCUGUCAGGCCAGAAUUUGCAGAGACUAUUAGAAGAACUCAUAAUUUUGUUGGUUUUGUUUUGGUGACUUCUAUAAUUGUGCUGACAAAAUUGUACCAGGAAAAAAUCAAAUCAAUUGAGAGUGAAAUGGCCUCCUCAUCAACAACAAGUCUGAAAGUAGAUGUUGUUAGUCAAGUUUUAGGAAAAGACAAACCUGGAAGACUCAGGGGAAUGGGCAGAGGGGUUACUGCCAGUAAGUUAGCAUUUAUGUUAGGUAGGGAUUCAAAUGUGGAGAAGCUUGGAGCCACACAAGCAGAUUUGUAGAUAAAACUUGAAGACUUGCAGAAUGUAGUAAGUGGAUUAGCUAGCAAAAAGGUUAGUUAAUUUCUCAUGAUUUUAUUUAAUAAAGGAUGAUUGUACAUUUUAGUUACAAGAUCAAUAUAUUUUUCUUAGAACCAGAGUGAAGAGCCUUCUAGAUUUGAAACCAAUGAUGUUAAGAAAGGAAUUAGGUGUCAACUACUUGAUUGGUAUUCCCAGCUGGAUGAUGUUGUUGUUGGAGAAGGAGAAUAUUGUUCAGCUGACCCUAUGUACAAGAUUGGUCGUAUACCAUUUGGUCCUAAUGUUGCAGCUGUCCUAGUGAAGACUGUAUUUAAUGAAUCAACUUAUGUUUGGAGGCCUACAACAAUAGUUGCCUCACUUGGUGAAGUUGUGGGAGUUAAAAUUGUAUGGCUUUUAGAUAAGAUCAUUCUAGACAAUGAUGUUGAGUCCUAGUUGGAAAUAAAAGUACACAUAACUUGGGGGAAAAAAGCCUAAAAAUGCCACAUCUAAUUUUUAUUUGGAAGAUUAAUACCUGGUCUUUUUUGCUUGGAAUUUUAAUACUUUGUCUAAUUUUGAGUGUCAUUUAAAUACCUGAAAUAUAUCUGUGUUGGCUCUUUAGUACUCCGUGGUUAACCUCCGUUUAAGCUCUUAACGGAAUGACUUACUCGGGUUAGAAUUUAACCCCACGUGUUUAAUUAACCUAAACUAAUGACACUGUUGCCCUUCGUCUCUCCCAAAUCGAUUUAUUUGAAUAGAAGAAGAAACCUAAAGCUCAUUCUUCACGAUCUGGGGAGAUUGAUAGAAUGAUGAUGAGCCAUAGUUCUUGUUUUGAUGCGAAUUCGAGUCGGAGCUGGGGUCCUCAUUGCAAUUGCGGUAGAGUAACAACGGUUGCAAAGUCAUGGACAAAUGAGAAUCCACGUAGAAGAUUUUUCAGGGGCGUUGUUCAUGGGUUUAUUAAUUGGGCAGAUGAAGAAAAGCCAAAUGGUUGGCAGAAGGUCAGCUUACUAGAGGCAAGGGAGGAGAUCAAGGUACUAAAAGAAUCUACCAUAAUGAGUAUAAAUUCCCUUUAAUAUACUGUUUUUUGUUUAUACUUUUAUCUUUAGGGUGCAUAUGUAUUACGUGAUACGGUCUACAUUUAUGAUUGGUAUUUGGGAGACUCUAUCAUUGCUGAGGGUCGAUUGUAUUCGACUGAACCCAAGGCGUUGGUGAACAAUAUUCCUCUUGGCCUAAAUGCAGCAAUUGUGAAGGUUGAGAAAGUUCUUAACAAAGAUGCGUAAUUGUGGAGACCAUCUACCGAAAUGUCUAUCAUGUCUAAAGCACUACAUAAUAUCGUCUGACUUAUUCACAAUGUAUAGUUGGUGAAUUUAUCUGCAAGAGAGGAAUCAGCACCUAAAAAACCAUCACCUGUGGUAAGUUUCAGCACUGUUUCUUAACAAUAUAAUAUGUGUGAUGCCCCUUAAUGCAUUUGUUCUAAAUUUUCCGUUGUUUAUAGAUCCUAAGUACCACCACAGGUAGCAGCUCUAAGUCUGUUAAGAAAAAAUGCAUUAUAAUAGAUUGCAAUAACUUUUUGAACAAAACAAAAAAAUAGAUUGCAAUAACUCUAGAGUAAAAGUUGCAGAAGGCAGGGUUUGUUCAAGUAAUCCAUCUGAUACAGUCCACUUUGUCUCUUUAGGUCCCAAUGCGAGCAAGGUAUGGGUUGAAGUAUCAAAGGUCGGGGAUGCAAGAGUAUGGAGACUAAAUUCUGAAGUUGAGACCAUUUCCGACGCAAUAAGUACUACAGUAGUUUGGCCUAAUGAUAAACUUGUGUUUCUCUAAAAUCCUUAAUGGUGGUUCGUUCCUUGUUUUGAAUACUUUUAUUAAGUACUAAACUUAUGUCUAUCUUUGAGUACUUUUUUUUUUUUUGGUAAGAUCUAUCUUUGAGUACUUGGUCUAGUAAUAACAUUGAUCUGUAAUUUUAGUCUUUACAUUAAUAUGUUUUUGCUGUUGAAAUCCAUUUUAUAUAUCAAUUUAGUAAUUUCUUUUGAAAAUAAAUAUUUAUAUUAUAAAAACAGAAAUUAGGUUCUGGAAGAAAACAUGAAAACAACAUAACUCAAAAUGCCAUUGUAAUGACAAAUAUAGCAAAACCAAUAAUGUUAUCGUUAUACUAUAUAUAACAAUUUUAAAAAGCUAUAAAUAAUAAAUACUAAUAUCAUAAACAGUUUGCUAUUUUAAAAACUAAUAUUGCAGCCCAAAAACGCUAUAUUUAAGGAAAUUAACAUUGUGUUAAUUAAAACUGCUAUAUUACGUCACAGAUCUACUAUAACAGGCGAUGAUCGAGCAUUAAACGGACGCUACGAAAACACGAUUUUAUUGUAAUGACCGCACAUUUGAAUCCUUAAAAUAAAUUAUAAUUAUAAUUGUACACAAUGAAAAGACACAUCAAAUGUUUGGAUAAGAUUUUCACCUUAUUAAAAGAAAUACUGCAAAUUGAACUCGAAAGUAAUCAAAACAUUUCAUACUAAACUAUUCUUUAACCGAAAUCACAAAAUUAUACUCAAGCAACUUCCGUAGUAGAGACUAUUUAUGUUUGAAACCCUAAAUUUUUCAAAUUCUUGUGAAAUUUUAAAGGUGCAUGUAAGCAUUAAGUUGAGGUUUGAUAAGUUCACAAAAUCCUAAAUCAUAUUCCUUUGCGAAUGAGUAUUUUGCUCAUCGAAUAUUCUAUUCAAGAAAUCAAUAAUAAUUUUGUGUGUAUCAGUUAACCUAAGAUCGGGUUCUAUGUUGCUUCCGCUACUCUAGAAUAACUUAACCACAAUAUAGAUGAAGAACUUUAUUGAUUCAAUCAUAACAAUCUAACAAUUUAACAAUUCAUUAACUCCUUUGAAAACCGUAAACCUAACUAGAAAUCUACUCAAUCAUGGUGAAUGAAACAAACAUCAUGAAUAAAAUAGAUAUCAAUAAGAAAAUAAUAGAAGAAAUAAAUGAGCUCUAAAUCUUCUCUAAAGGAGUUGAUGAUUCUUCUCUUUAAGCUCUUUACAAGUCUCUCCCUCCAAAAUCAAGCUUAAAUCUUCACAAAAACCUAAAACCUCAAUAUAUAUGUCUAACAUACGACUUAGGCCUAAAUUGCCAAAAAGAUAAACGUCUGGGCAAAAUCUACAAAUCUUCGUAACUUCAACUACUCUAGAAUAUUAAUUACUGUCAGAUAUUUGUGUCGACCGACACCGGGGAAGUAUCUAUCGACACUCACACCAGAUAUCUCUCUGAGCACGUUUCUUCGGCACAUCUUCUGCAUAUGCUCUCAAAUGCUCCAAAACUCGAAAUAAGUCCAAUACAUACCUUAACCUGCAAAGACUCUAUAAGACUAGAGAAAUAACAUAAAGACUUUAUAGAUACGAUUUUUAUCAUGGCCAAAAAUCAGUAAAACCCAUGAUAUAUCAAUAUAGUAAAAUUAUAAUGAAUAAAGAAUGGAUUAUCAAAUGAAAAAUAAAAUAAUAUAGUAAAGAAAAUAUAAAUUUAUGGUAUAUAUUUAAAAUAAAAUUACGGUGCCAUAUUCAAUUUAUUUCUAGUCUUGUCAUAUACUCCAUUCAUCUUAUAGUUAUCUACUGCAGUUUUUUUUUAACUCUUAAUUUAUAUUUUAUUGCAAAUUAUCUUAUAGUUAUCUAUAUCAUAUUUCUAUUCUUUCAUAUAAUAAUAUCAAUAAAUAGUAUAAAACAUUAGUCAAUUUCAUCUCAACUUGAUCUAUAGUGUCGAUGGCGGCUUUAUUUGAGGGGGCGUCAAUUUAUAAAUUAUAUAUAUACACAUAUAUGUAACAAUACAAAUUUUUAUUUGUUCUCGAUCUAUUUUUUGGCGAUUUUAUUUUCUUACACGAUUUAUUCUUUAGUUUUUUUUUUGUUUUUUACAGUAUUAUUGGCAAUGCAUAUUUGGUCAAAACAAAAGAAAUUAUGAAACGAUGGUUAUAGAAUAUAUAUGACAUAUCACGUUCUGAAACUUUUAUAAGAAAAAAUAAACUCUAAAAGAAUAUAGCAUAUAGAAACAUUUAAAAGAUGAAAAAUGGAUAUUUUUACGUGGCCACAAAUUCAACCCUUAAGAGUGCAAAAAAGUGUAUAUACUUUCUGUCUUCUCUAGUUCUUGAACUAUUAAAUUGGAACACGUUCACAUGUUUAAAAAAUGUGAUUUUAAAUAAGGAAAAGCUUAUUGACCGGUUCAUAUGCGUCCAUAACAUUAUCAGAUAAGUUAUAACCAAAGUACCGUUUCAUUCGAUUGUAUAACAAGCUAAUGGCUAAAGUUUACUAGUAGUAACAUAUUGGAUCGCUACUAGCCCUCGAAAAAAAAAAUGAUUACAACAGCUAGUAGUAACAUUUUUAACCACGAGGUGGCGAGCUAGUGGUUUUAGUCUAGUGGAAGAGUCGUCUUGUUGGUUAAUUAGAGUAGGGAUCGAUUAUCUCCAGACGCAGAAUUACUAACUUUAUCUCUUUGUUCACAUGGGUAUAGACUUCUUACUUAAGGUUCAUUUGAAAAACUGGGAAAUCUUACCCGUGAGAUACCCUCUGUCCAGGGAUUAGUUUUGGAUCCUUUCAUAGGUUUAGAGAUUUACACUGAGUUAUAUAAAAAAAAAAAAAAACAGCUAGUGUUGAUGAUGUUGAUAUUAUGUUUGAUUAAGAUAACAUUAACAUUUAAAAAAAAACACACAUGCAGAAAACGAGUUUUCGGACAUCUAAAAGUAUCAAAUUUUGGUAGACGUUGUAAACUUUGUUAUGUCCCAAGUCUUUCAAAUGAUUUUUGUUUCCCAACUAGUAUUAAGUUAUACAUGCUUAUAAAUUUGAAGAAGUACGUAGUGUGACCCGUUUAAAUUUGAGAAACGUAUGGUUUAAACUUUAACUUAUAAAUUUACGUUUUAGUAUCAAAGGAUUAUACUAUACUAUCUCGAUAUUUAAUCGCGAUGACGACUGAAAGAAUCGAUUAACCCGUUUAAUUAGGCAUGCUUCUCUAUUCUAAAGAAAGACCAAGAAUUCAACAAAGACACUCUAGAGGUGUAUAUCUCUAUAUAUAAUCAUGGGAAUGCAACCGCAUAGGAUGUGACCAGUUGUAUGGAGAAGGUUGCUUUACGUACUGCCACCGGACGUCUCAGUCAGGAGCAUAUACGUCGUCAACUUGUAAUAAUAUUAUAAGCAUUUUUAAAAUAAUUGUGGGUGAUCCUAUUCAGCAUCAAAUUAGGUUACAAGACUAGAACAUUGUCUAAUCACAGCAGACCUAAACAGUCCGAUUAGUUUUAGCCGGUGAGGAAGUUGAGUAGAAAAUUUCUUUGUUUUGUUUUAAUAUAACCAUCGGUAAUCCGGUCAGUUUGAUGGGAACAUAUCAAAAUGCUACUACAUGUAUUCAUCGUUAAUAUCUAAGUGUUGGAUUAUUAUAUUACCUAACCCAAAUUUUGUAUGUUUGUCGAUUUAUACGAAAAGUAAUCAAAUCGCAUGUAUUUCUGACUACUAAAUAAAUUAAUUGGCUUAAAUACAUGUGACAGAUUUUCUAACAAGAUAUUGUUAACAGGAAAGGAGGAAGAUCGAACUUGGGGUGUGGGAGUUUCAACCUUUCACCCAUGCUGACCUACCAUUCGCCUACCACCUUCAGGACAAAAAAAGAACUUAGCCCAUCAGUAUUUCAACUGGUUCCCGACAUCAUAUCGAACUGGAGGGAUCUGGUUCAACUUAGCUUGGCAAAAGCUUUCUAGAUACCAAACAACACAACCAUCCAAAUUAUUCUUGUUUCUAGCAUUAUUUGAAUCAUGAGAAGCGCGAGUUUAUCCCUUGUCCCAUGUCCAAAUACCUCUAGGCCACAAGAGUGGUCUUUUUGUAUAGUUUUCCAAAAAUAAUUAGUAAUAAAAAAAGUUCAUGUCAAAGAAACGUAAAGAAACCGAAUAAACAAAUAAACAAAUGAAAGAUACUUAGAGCUAAGCAUUAAGCAUCCCAUUUUGCGACAGGAUUUGACGCAUUAUGCUUACCUCCAUUUCAAAAUUUGAAAACUCUUGUCAAAAUCUUUAUAUAUAUAUAUUAUUUUUAUACAUGAUGACAUGUAUAAAAUAUUUCAAAGAAGAAAGAAAGUAUAGAUGCUUCUUAUUGUCUGAUCAGAUCUCUACUUUUUCAAUUGAGAAUCUUGUAUCAAAAUAUGGUUCUUUGACAGCCAUACACGCCAACUUUCAAAAUAGAAACUAAGUCCUUCACGUUGCUGACUUGAAAUGCUGAUUAACAUACUUAUUCCAAAUUACAGAAUUAAUUCAGUUGGCUCUACAGAAAGCGAAACUAAAUGAAAUUAAAAACGUGCUUCUUGAUAGGAUAUUAUUCUAUAUACUUAUCUUAUUAGAUAAUUGUUUUUAUUUGGAUUAUAUAUAUAUAUAUAUAUUGGAUUUGGGGACAACUAAAUUGUAGAGUUAAUUAAGUAAAUGAAAAAUGCCUUAUUACUUUAAAAAUGUGUGAAACUUUUCUCCAUGAUGAUGGGUGCAAUUAACAUGCCUAAUUGAUAGAUGUAUAUACAUAAAAAUCUCUAUUAUUGUGUUAGAUAAUAAUUGAAUCUCAAUAAAAUUUGUCUUAAUUAUAUAUGCGCAUACGACGAAGUUAUUAAUUUACUUACGUAAUGCAUUAAUUAUAUCAGCAUAGAUGAUGAAAUGGUAGAAGAAAAAUCAUAAUCUCCGUAUGAUAAUUUAGAUAUCUUUGGGGAAAAGACAUCCGCAUAGAAAAUAACACGCAUGUUUAAUAUAAAUAAAAAACAGUAUUUCUCAGAAUUUAUAUUGAUAAAAAGAAAAUUCUUACAAAAUUAUAUGAACUAGUUGUUGGUUUCUUUAUUUUGUUCAAUUUAAUUGGUAUUAUCUACAAUUGGUUUUACUGAUAUUUUUACUAGGAACAUUUUUCGUUAUGACCUAAACACACCACUCAAAAUUAUACAAAAAGUAUGUCUUUCACUUUCUUUGCGAGUAUCCCAAUUGUAGGGUACAAAUUAAGAAAAAAGAAAUAACAAGCUAAAUAAUAUUAUAUUUACUAACUAUUAAUCUACUUGUUCAUGUAAUCUUACUAAUGAGUAUAAUAAAUAUAUUUACUUUUAGAUUUGAUCUGAUUAAUGUCUGUGUAUGAUGUCACCCUUGCAAUGAUGGAAGCUAGGGGUGCUUCCAUUAAUUAACUCUCUCUCUCUAUCUUUAUGGUCAUGAAUAGUGUAAUCAACAAUGGCAACAAAAAAUAAAAAGCUAAGUUCAAAGCACAAUACGAUUAGUUAAAAGAUAAAUGCGAUAAUGAUACGAUUCUGAGCAUUACUUGAGUCGCAAUAUAUAGUCACACCCUCAACAAAUCUUUAUUGCUUACCAACUUCUGAAAACUACAUAAAGACAAGUGUAUAGAUAGAGAGACAAAUUACACAUAACUAUGGUGAAGUUUGAUACAAAACUAUGGAAAGCUGUGUUUAUGAUGUCUAUAAUUAACAUUGCUCUUAGUGUUGUUAAUGUUAUGUUCAAGAAGAUGAUUGAGCAAGGAAUUAACCGUAUGGUCGCUACCACUUAUAGGCUUGCCGCAGGAACUCUGUUCUUGACACCAAUCGCGAUUUUCUUGGAAAGGUAUGUGUUUAUGUAUAUUCAGUUAGGGUUGUUGGGACUAUGUUUCUAACAAAGAGAUCAAAUCUCGCCUUUACGAGUUUUAUAUUUCUUCCCAUCAAAUUUUAAUAAAACCUCUUUUGUUUUUCUAUACUUUGGAUUUUCGCGGUCUAAUUAACCGUGAUUUCAAUCUAGUCAAUACUUGUUUUCUUAGUUUUAAAAAAUUCAACUUAUUAUCAAAUCUUUUCAUGGUUUUCUUGAUUUGUCAUAAUCUUUGAACUUUUCAUUUUGGUUUAAAUAUUCUCUUUAAAAGAUAAAUGGUUGUCUUGUUUAUCCAAGUUUCUAGUUACUUGUUGUUUUCAAUCUUUUUUCAUAUUCAUCAUAUAUUCGUAUUCCAUCUAAAAGUGUUCUAACAAUAUUUUUUCUCCUUUUGUAGACAUAACCGGCCAAAAUUAACCGGUAGGAUCUUGUGUUCACUCUUCUUUAGCGCUCUUCUCGGGUAAGUUUAUCUUUAAUAGACUGGUCCUGAUAAGUUUCCAUAUGUUUACUUUGAUCUUGAUCACUUACAAAUUUGCAGGACAAGUUUGGUGCAAUACUUCUUUCUUAUUGGACUUGACUAUACAUCUUCUACUUUUUCCUUAGCCUUUAGCAACAUGGUUCCUUCAGUCACCUUCGCGUUGGCUCUCGUCUUUAGGUAACGAAAUCGAUUUAUUCUUCUUUCUUUUUCUCUAUAUAUUAUUAUCUUUUAUAAACUAUAUGAUUAGGCAAGAGACGCUGAACAUCAAGACCAACGUAGGAAGAGCCAAAGUAUUAGGCACAAUGAUAUGUAUUUGUGGAGCUUUAGUGCUUACACUUUACAAAGGAGCCACUUUAACUCCAGAUCACGGUACUCAUAUGCAAACACAAACAAGAACUGAUUCAACCGGUGCAAUGACGCAAAAGUGGGCAAUGGGUUCGAUCAUGCUAUUUAUAUCGAUCAUAAUAUGGUCUUCUUGGUUCAUUGUUCAAGCUAAAAUAAGCAUGGUUUAUCCAUGCCAAUACACUAGCACCACGAUCCUCUCUUUCUUUGGUGUGAUCCAAUCUGGUUUGUUGAGUUUGAUCUCGGAGAGGAGUAUAUCUAUGUGGGUCGUUAAAGAUAGGUUCCAAGUUUUAUCUUUACUUUAUUCGGUAAGUAAUUCAAUUUACUAUUUAUAACUAAAAUACCAAAUGUAUUAUAUAUAAGUUAUGCUAACAUAUAAAGCUUUUUUCUUCAUAUUCAUAUCUAGGUUUUUUCUAUCUUAUGAUUUCCGGUUAAAGUAUUUUUUUCUGAAUCCGCCACGGCUUUAGGGUAUCGUUGGAUCGGGAUUGUGCUACGUGGGAAUGUCGUGGUGUCUCCGGCAAAGAGGUCCGGUAUUCACGUCCAGCUUCAUACCUUUGAUUCAAGUCUUUGCUGCCAUUUUCAGCUUCUCUUUUCUUCAUGAACAAAUCUACUGUGGAAGGUAACCUAAUACUUUGUUCUACUUCUUUAAUAUGAUUUUAUAUGCUAAUCUUUUUUAUAAAUCUAAUAUUUUAAACCAAAAGAAAGAAAAAACAAUUGAUGGAACAACGUACGUUACAAAAAAAAAACUAUAUUAAUAAGAUCAAACGCAUCAUAAUACAUAUUUAAAUAUCGACUGACUAGUAGAGAUGCCUAUAUUUAAAGACCCUUUCAUCUACGUACGUAGCUUUUGAGUUUUGAGUUUUUGUUGUAUCAAUUUGUAUAACACAAAUUUAAAAAUUCUCUUAACUUUAUAGAAUAUGAUUAAGACCUAUAAAACACCUACUAAAGACCUAUAAAAGACCUUUUAAUCUUUGUGAUAUAUACCUUUGAUCGAUGUAUUAUAUAUGAAUUAAAACAGAUUAACUAUGAAUCUAGAAAUGAUUACACAAAUGGGAAAGCUAAUUGUAUAUGUGUUUCUUUUUCACCUAACAGUUGAUAUUAAAUGGUUCUUUUUGACUUUUGUUUACUAAUAAUUUCUGACAAAUGAAGUAUAUAAAUGUGGUAUGGCAAAAAAGUGUGAUAGGAUCAGUGGUCAUCAUCGUGGGACUUUAUAUACUUUUAUGGGGCAAAAGCAAGGACAAGUCUGCACCAGUAACCAAACAAGAACCAUUAAAUCUCGAUCUUGAAGGUUGUGGGACAACUUCAAAGGAACUCAAUAGUGCUGCCCAUCCAGUUUCUGCUAAAUAAUGACUACUAGGCUUCAAACAUAUAUUUAACUGUUUCUCAUCUUUCUAACUCCAAAUGUCUAUUAGAUCUUUAUGUUAAAAGAAAAUGUUACACUAUAAAUGUUAUUCAGAAAUAAAAAUACAAAGUUCACACUAUAGUUUAUAAUAAAUUAUGUAAUCUAUGGUUCUCUAGAUAUAUAGUUUACCAAUUAGCCCGUCUAGCUCAGUUGGUAGAGCGCAAGGCUCUUAAACUUGUGGUCGUAGGUUCGAGCCCCACGGUGGGCGUUUGUUUUAACUUCCAUAAAUAUGUUUUUUCACAUUUUAGUAACAUCAAUUACAAACUAUGCAAUUUCGAUAUACAGAGUUCCUUAGAUUUGCAUUUUUUUUUACAUUGACUUGAAUGAUCAAUUAGUGUUUACAUGUACAAAAAUAAGGUCAAUAUAUAGCUUUAUAUAAGUGAUGAUGACUAAGGAUAUUACAAAACUGAUUACAAACCAAAGAAACGAAAGAGAGAUCUCAUAAAUACUAAGCAACUAUUACAUUGAUCACAACGUACACAAGAUGGUAUAUAUGUCCCUAGACAUAGAAACAAAACUAGGACGACCAACAAAAUUUAUCAUUAUACUUAUAUAAGUAACUCAAUAUCUUUGUUCAACCGAUCCACAAUUAUUUAGACCAUGUCAGGAGCUCGAUUAUUGAUUGGAGGCUCGCGUCGAGGCUUACCACGAGUUGGAUAAUCACUGCGUAAGAAUCGAGCCAGUUUCUUUAUAUCCUUGGCUGAAGUAGAUGGUUCAAGUCUUGAAAGACUAUUACGAUUGGCGAGGUCAUUGACUAUGGUCAUCGUCUUCUUACAAGAUGUAUGCUGUAAAAAUGAAGUUAUGUAUGAAAGGAUCGGAUAAGAAGAAGACUAAAUCUAUGAGUCUUCAAAGAAGGAUUACAAGACAAACCUUAGUGGUGUCAUGAUCUGCCAAUACAUUGGUCUCCUUAUGCUCUCCUGCAGUAAAGCCAAAACAUAUCUAGAAUGAAAGAGAUGUUAACCAAACAUUUUAGAAUAAAAAUAAAGGUCUUUUUUAUAAAGGAUAAAACAAGUGUAUUUUUUUUACAAACAACUAAAAUGAUUACUGAAGCAUAAGAAUAAAACCAAUUAAAGAGAAUACACAAAAUGCUACAAAAUAUUACAAAAUUGUAUAUUGUUCGCUGUGAUUAUAAGUUAUGCCUAGGAGGAUGUCGUGCUGGUCCAUGAUAAUCAUCAUAGAAAGCUACAAAUGGACUAGAAGAUUUUUUCUUCUUGGGUUUCCAUUUAAAUGAAGAACUCUUACUUCUUUUGUGAAACCCUAAUUUACGACCAGCCGUCAAAUCCUUUGAUGCAGCUAACAUCUUGAAACUCCAAGUAUUAUUGUUCGCGGUCUCUUGUUUCUUCUCGGCUCUUGUUGUUCUUCCCGAUCUUAGUUUCCUCGGUGCAAAUUCGUAUAAAACCUAUUAUGGUGUAUAAAAUUCAUAUAAUGUAUUUCAUAAAAAGUUAUUUUGAGAAAGACUGAUUUAAAAUAAAUGUAUUAUUACUUGAGGAUGUUGUUUCGAUGAAUCUUGAUCUCUAUGGUAGGCAAGACUCUUGUGGCCAGCUUCUCUGCCUAUGAAGAAAAGUUAUUAGUAGCUAUUCAUCAGAAGAAGAAAAAAAUAUAUGGAAGAAUUAGGGAUAUCUUUAUGUAAAGGCACCUUCAUGAGCAUAGACUAGGACAUGUUCCUCUUCUAGGGAUUGAAUAAUCAAAAGGAAAGCUAUAACUAUAGUUGUGACGCGCAUCAUGGUUAUCAAAGAUAGAUUGUUCCAAGUUCUCUUUCUCUUUUAGUUUUGGAAUAAGAGAUACAUACAUGGGAGUCAAAAGGCUCAAUAUUGAGUUUCUUAUUUUGGUCUUAUCGAGAGGUAAAGAGCAAAGACCCGAGUCAAAAGGGCACAGUUUCUGUCGCCUAGUAAUAACAAAAAGAAUAUUAUUAGUACUUCUAGGUGCAUCUUUAUUACCCCAAUAUGAUAUCAUAUAUAUAUUGUCUUCUUCGAAACAAAAACAAAAAAAUGGCUUUCAGACACAAUGACGCAUAGGUGAGAAAAUCCCAUCUUUUACAUAGUAUCUUAUAGGGUUAUUUAGUAGUCCAGAUAUGAUAUGUUAAAUAGUUUUUAUCAGAAUUAUAAUAAUGUUAUUUGUAAACAUGGGAAAACGGGGAAAAUCAACCCAAACUAUUUCCCGAAGGUAUUUUCAUACCUAAAUUCACGUCCUCUGAAUUUUACAACCUAAACCAGCUUUCAAUUCAAAUAACCAACCUGAACUACAUCAUUUUUUGUCGAUUUCAACCUCAAAUCCCUGCCCAUCUUGAAGAUUUGGACAAUCAAGCUUAAGCUUCUGUAAAAACCAAGAGAACUGGACUUGGUUUUUACAUAAGAUUAAGCUUGAUUUUCCAAAUCUUCAAGAUGGGCAGGGAUAUUGUUAACGUCGAGGUUGAAAUCGACAAAAUUUGAUAUGGUUCAGGUUGGUUAUUUGAAUUAAAAGUUGAUUUGAGUUGUAAAAUUCAGAGUACGCGAGUUUGGGUAUCAAAAUACCUUCGGAGAAUAGUUUGGGUUGAUUUUCCCCGUUUUCCCUUGUAAACAUCAUAUGCAAGGGGUUUUUUCUAUCAUCUAACAUUUAUUAGUUAUUACAAAUUAUAAGAAUUAUUACAAAAGAUAAAAAUACUCUCGACAAAUUUUUUCCGAUCCUAUUAGAUUCACUACUAACUAGAGUCUAUGCUGGUCUUAACCACUUUCUUCUCUUUCAAUAGCUAGGGUCACGGCGAACGGCUCUAAUUACGCACAAGAAAUUUAUGGUAAACGUUCCUCCUUUAAUAUGCAUAGUUAUUAAUAAAUCGUAAUAUUUGAGACUCCAACCUUAAACUUCUUGGUGUAAAAGCAUUACUAAACCCUUGGUCAACAAUUAGAACAUGGAGACUUCCAUAUGUCAAAGGUUUAAAAAAAAAAAAAAACAUGAUAUAUAUGUCAUUAGCAUUUAAUCAAUAAAGUGAUAGGAAAGUAUUCUUAAUUUUUGUUUUUUUCUAGAUUAGUAAUAUUUUUGAACUAGAAAUAGGCAAAUUAUAUUAUAUAUCAAAAUGAAAUGAAAAUAUUUUGUAAAACUUUGUUGACAACAAAGAAGUUGUGAGAAAAAUGGCACGAGGAACUGCAUCAAAUGAAGUGCAGGGCUUGGGGACAUGUAAAUGUGCAUGGAUUUACUAAAAAGUUACGGAGACUUUACCUAUAAAACUAAAUAAUCUUUAGUUAACUACAAAAAAGAACUUAGGAUUCUUGAUAUAUUCUUGUUGCAAGCUUGAAAUAACGACGAAUAAGCAAAAGAGAGACCCCACAAAGGACAAUCGUUCCACGAAACUCUCUCUUCUCUUUCCUAGAAGGCUUUCAAACAAAUCUCAGAUCCGAUCUCUCGAGGCCUUGGUUUUCAAUCCCACAAGAUUCAGUGUGUUGCAGAGACAGCCAACUCUCCUCCCCGUCGGCUUGGGUGAGGUUUUUUCUUCUUCUUUGGCGUAGAUCUAGACCCGGGGUGGUGGUUAGAGUGCGGUGCUACAGACCUCCGAUAAGAGGGAGUCGGCAGGUGUAGCAGCUGCCUCGUGGCUCGCUCGUUGUCUCGGCGAUGGAUCAACGGCGGAAGCCAAAGGAGGAGAUGGUGGGUGGCUGAAGCGCCUUGGAGAUUAACGGCGGAUCCUUUCUGGAUCUUGCCGGCCGUCGCGGAGUCUUCGCGUCUGGGCUUCCGAUUGAGCCGUCGGCCCUAGUCGCCGCCGCGAUUUGCUUUCUCCGGGUCGGUUCGAGGAGUUUUGGUAAAGCGAUUGGAGACUCGCCGGCUUCAAGAGAGGUGAGGUUAUGUCCGAAGUUGGCUGCUUGCUUGGUCUGGGAGUGUCAACAAAGUGCUGCGUUGUCAGAGGUUGGCCAUAUCGGGAGGUUUGUGGCGGGUCGAUAGAUCGAGGGUGAAGAAGCGGCACCGGAGUUGGAUGCUUCCUUUACGCUUCUUGAUCUCUCGGUGGUUUGCAAAGCCGUGGUCCUCGCAUCCACCGGUCCUAAUGGUCUGACUCUUUGCUCGCGGUGUCAAUACGACACGAGUCGUUUCUCCGGCGCCGGCGGUUUUUAGGUUUCCGUUUGCUUUGGUUUCUGUUCAUCUGGGUUUUUGUGGCCCGGCCCAUUAAGGGGUUCAUCAAUAAAAUUUGGCCCGACGACGUGUUGCACGAGCUGGCCAAUAGUUACCUAUCACUAAUAAUACAUUUCUUUUAACCAAGUCACACUACUAACCCAGCCUAAAAGCUUAUUGGAGAGAACAAAUCUAUGAUAACCGGACGUAUCUUUGAUGUUAUUUGAGGGGUUUUUUUUAGACAAAAGAAAUAAGAAAAACUAGGAAAUAGUGAUUAAAUAAAUUUAUCAAAUGUUAAAAGCUUAAUAGGUAAAAAUCUUUGGUAAAAGCAUAAAGUUCGUUGGUUUAAAUAACUAGCGCUUGAAACGAGAUUAUAUAACAUAUUUUGGUGUCGGGUUUGAGGGGAUAUAUGAGUUUCCGCCUAGAAUCUUUUAAUUAUUCAAAAAAAAAAUUGAAAAUCUCUGACAAUGAAAUCAAUGACAAAGGAGAAGGAACACCAAGUCAAUAAGAAGUAGAAGUUGGGCUUGUGUUAUUUUGGUAAUAAAAAAAGUAAUGGGCUGUAAAUUAAUUUAGCAAAGAGAAAAUGUUAGUUUAUCGUGUGUCACAAAAGUUCAAGUAUAAAAAAAGUUUCCAGAGCAUUUGGUUAAUAGUAAUAUAUCUCUGUUGUUAAAUUAGUGCAGUGCACUAGAAGAAAGAAACCUUGACCAAGAUUACAACAUAGUCAACUAUUAAUAGACAAUAAUAUCCAUUUAGCUUAAAAAAGGAUUUGAUAGAAAAUGAGCAUUUGGUUACUCUACUUGUUUCAUUCUAAGGCUUCGAAUGAAGAAAGCGUAUUGAGCAGUGCAGAUCAAGCGGUUCAAGCAGAUCAAGCAGAACAAAAGCAGAUCAAGCAGAUUUGGCGGUACAAGUGCAGAUCAAGUGGUUCAACCGCUACAAUGUAUAAAUUGAAUGGUGAAAACCAAUCAAAUAGGUGUAAAUUAAAAAAUAUUGAUUUUAUUGAAUUUUUUAUAUAUGAAAAUCAUAAUAAUGAUGAGAAAUUACUUUAUUUUGAAUUUUAUAUUGUAAAUUUGUAAACAUCUAAUGUUAUUAAUUUAAGAGAAUUUUUUAGAUGCAUUAAAUUAAAACUAAUAUUUACAACAUAUAAUAUAAUAACAUUAUGUUACAACAUACAGUAAAACCUCUAUAAAUUAAUAUUGGUGGGACUACAGAAUUUUAUUAAUUUAUAGUGAUAUUAAUUUAUCUAUAAAUUAAUAUUUAUUAUUUUAUAGUGUAAAUUAAUAAUUAUUAAUUUAUAGUGGUAUCUUUAAGUCUUGAAGUAUUUUGAAAUUAAGAAUUAGACAAUUUUUUACAAAAUAAGAUUAAUCUUUAAGAUUAUAUAAAAAUUGUAUAGUUUGGAAUUGAAUUCUAUAUUUAGAAAAACAAUUUAAAAAUGAAUUAAAAAUAUUAUUAAUAAAUUCACUUAUAUACAAAGUAUAUACAUAAAUACAAAUUUAUGAUUAAUACCUCAACUGUUAUCUUCUAACAGCCUAUAAAACAAAAAAAAAAAUGAAUAUGAUGCAUAUUUAUAAAUAGAAAACAUAAAAAAAUUUGGUUAUUUUAUGAUGUUAUAGAGUAUAUUAUAAUAUUAUAGUUUAAAAAUAUAACAUAAAUACUUUUUUAUAGAGAUGAGCUCGAGGAGAAAAAAUUCAUUUUUUGAAAAAACUAAAAGCAUAUUUUAACAUAACUACUUAUAUCAUAUACUGUAUAUAUUUAGAGUAUAUAUAUAGUGAUUAUUAAUUUAUGAUAUUGUUGGGACUAUAUUUACAUAGGGAUUUCAAAAAAAUGUAUUAUCUUAUCGAAUUUGGAUCAUUUUUACACUAGCCCGACUGAGGACCAGCAAAAAUUAUUACUUUAUAGUGUUUAUUAAUUUAUGGAGGUUUUACUGUAAGUGGUGUGUAAUAAUCAUGAAAGUAAAAUUAAUAAGUACAAUAUUUGUAAUGCAUUAAAUUAGUAAACUAUUAUAAAUAAAUAAAAAAAUCUUUAAAGAAAUAUUUAUAAGAAAACUUAGAAUAGUGGAGCAAAAAUAAUAUUUAAACUAAUAAUUGUAAGAAAACUUUGAAUAAUUUUAUUAUGAAAACUUUGUGAUUUAAACAGUAUAUAUUAAUUUUAUGAAUUUAAGUUGUUUUAUUUUAUUUUUAACAAAUAAGUUUUAGAGUGGUAUGUUAAAUAUAUAAUAUUUAUGUGUUUAUUAUUACAGCAGUAUUUAUUUAAUAAAAUAUUAAAUAAGAAGGCAAUUUAGACAUGAUACGCAUCAAAAUGAAGCGUUCAGCUGUUGUAAGUAGAUCAUUACUUUUCCUUUGUAAUUAUGAUCUGUAUGCAGAUCAUAUUUAAUUUUUAUUUAUUUUUAAAAAAAAUUUGUUUAAAUAUAAAAUACUUGUGAAUGGUGAAAAAAAGCAGUUAUCCCGUUAUGCGUACCAUCUGCCUUUUAUCUGCUACGCCAUUCAAGACCUAAUUUUAUCACUCCUCUCCCAUCAAAGGUACCACUUGCUCUUCUCAGAAUCGUUUUCUAAACAGCAGUACACACAAUUUGGCUUGAACGUAAUCCUCGCGGGCACGGUGUUUUGUUAAGCACUCCAGCUUAGCUCAUCUAGUUCCUGGACCUAUUCUCUUGCUGCUCCACACCACCACAUUUGCUGAUGGUUUACAAAUUUGGUUUGCCUCCCGACACAAAGUUUUAUUUUUGGUUUUUAAGCUUAAUUUUAAAUAAAGGAUGCAUUCAUUGUAAAAAAGUCAUUUGUUGGGUUGAAUAUAUAUGUCGAUCAGUUCCAAUACAAUACAACUAACGAUACAGAGUACAACUUUGCAAUAAAAGUAAUAAAAUGAAAAUAAAACUGAGCUUUUUUCUUGGAUAUAGAAUGACCUGCAACUGUCUCAUCUUGGUGAGGCAUACCCGCGCGCAAGCUAGCUAGGCCAGUAGGCCACUUAAUCAGUAUCAUAAACCCUGAUCUUCCGACUCUUCUGCAAUUGCUGCAAGCUUUGAGGGAUUAUCUUCUUGUUCGUCUUUGCUUGUGAAGUAAUCGUUAGUAACAUAGAUUCCUUGAUCAAAUAUCUUUCCUGGCCUAUGACGAUCAUCUGGUGGAACAUGAACAGUCGGCUCUACUAAGUAGACAUCUUAACCAAAACAAAUUGAACAUGGAAGAUAUUUGGAAAAAGUUGUGUCACGACUGAUUUUAUCCGAGACUAGGAUCAAAAAUGGUCGAUCCUAAGCACGUAUCCGAGGAAAGACCAUUUUCCUAAACAUAAUGUCAGCAAACAUUCUCAAAGGUGGGUCUACCCCAUGGAAGAAAAAAUAAUCAGAUAAUAGAUAUAACAAAAGAAAAAAUUUCUGUUUUUUUUCCUUUAACUAGAGUAAUGUGAAAAAUUUUCAUCGUAUAUAUGAUCAUAGCCAAUUACGAGUAUGUGUGAAGGGGUUGAGAUGUAACAUAUUUAUUUGUUAGCUCUAUAGUAAAAAAACUUCCUAUAGCCAAGAAUGUAAGGCUUCACAUUCGUGGCUAUAAGGCGAUUUAGCCAAAAAAUAAGCCAUGAAUUAUUUAAUCUAUGACGCUAUAGCUACGAAUAUUAAGUCGCAACUGCAAAAAUUCAAGUGGCUAUAGGGAUUAUUUUUACUAGUUCCACUCCUUUAUUGAAAUCAAGUUGAAUUUCUUCUAUUUGUGUCAAUGGUUGUAAACUUGUAUAAGAAUGGUUCAUGUAUCAUGUAAAACUCUUUAUGGUGUCAUAUAUUUGAUUUGUCGAAAAAAAAGAGUGUUAUAUUUGAACACUUCACCUGUGGGAAGGAAGUAGAUUCUUGACUUCCACGUCUUGUUACGCAAAAGCUCACCCCAAGUGGACUCAUCCUUCUCAUCAACAUAAGCCCAGAUAUUGAGGUUACCCGUACAAUCCCUAACCUUAAGAGCUAAUUCGAUUUUUUGAUAGAUCAAAUCAGGUAUUAUCAGGGAAUGGACAACCUUGGAUGUCCCAGGAGAGGCCUAUUGUGUUCCCUUCCGUGGGUGUGAUAGGAUCUGUACGGUUACACCCAAUACUUGAAGCGUACUUGCUAACCAUCCUUCAAAACUCCCUUGAACCCUCCAUACUUGAAGCGUACUCCUAUUGUGAAACCGCAAAGGAGCUUUGGGACACGCUCAAGAAUGUCUAUGGGAAUGUGUCCAACUUGACCCGUGUGUUUGAGGUCAAGAAGGCUAUCAACAACCUAAGUCAAGAAGACUUGGAAUUUACAAAGCACUUUGGAAAGUAUCGGUCUUUGUGGGCUGAACUCGAGAUGCUCCGUCCAAGUACCGUGGAUCCGUCCAUCCUCAAUGAGAGAAAGGAACAAGACAAGGUCUUUGGUCUCUUUCUUACCCUUAAUCCAGCUUACAACGACCUCAUCAAGCACUUACUUAGAGCCGAUCAGCUUCCCUCUCUUGAUGAUGUGUGUGCUCAAGUGAAAAAGGAGCAAGGCUCUCUCGGUCUCUUUGGUGGUAAGGGGGAGCUCAUCAUGGCCAACAAAGGAACAUACAAGCAAGAAUACAAGAAGGUGGUGGUUUGUGACCAUUGCAAGAAAAGAGGUCACAUAAAAGACAAAUGUUGGAUCCUCCAUCCCCAUCUCAAGCCGGCUAAUUUCAAGGCGAAUAUCUUGCAAGAAGCAAGGCAAGAAGGCGGUUCCGGAUCGAGCAAACAAGGAGAGGAAGUGGCCAUGGCUGCAUCUCAUGGUGAUGUUAUGAGAAAAUCCGACUUGGAAGCUCUCAUACGAUCCAUUGCCUCACUUAAGAAAUCUGGUACCUCUCUCUUUGCUUCUAAACCGAAUAGUAAACUUGUCAUUGACUCGGGUUCUUCUCACCACAUGAUUAGUAACCCGAGAUAGACAACAUACAACCGGCCUUAGGGAAUGUAACGAUAGCUAAUGGAGAUAAGAUACCGGUAAAAGGAAUAGGAGAAUUGAGACUAUUUGAUAAGGAUUCUAAAGCCUUAUAUAUGCCUACCUUUACCUCUAAUCUUUUAUCGGUUAAAAGGGUUACUAAUGAUCUCAAUUGCUAUACUAUAUUUGGUCCUAAUGAGGUUUAUUUUCAGGAUAUUAAGACCGGGAAAAGACUUGGAGAAGGAAAUGCCAAAGGAGAUCCUUAUGUUCUUGAGAAAACCUGAUACUAGGAUUUUUCUAUCAAUUACCCUAGAGUACUAUCAUGUCAUUGCAGUACAAUAGGUAUCAAUCCAAUCAGGUGUGAUGCUAGCAAUCAAGAUAUAUUAGAAAUGAUUAAGUCAAGCAAGCAUAAAUGAUUUUUGGUUUUCAGUGAUCCUAAGCGAACAUGUUAAACAUGCGAUAAAUGUAAAGCUGUAAAACAUAAACUAACAUGCAUAAUCUAAAACGUAACGAUUAUUGAUACUGGCAAGAAAACAAAGUGGAACAAGUAAAUAACAAGAGAAUUAAACAGAAAGCACAAAUGGAUAGAAGAUCUUGAGGAUGAGGUUAUUGAUGUAGGUGGAGUAUGCUAAUCUACUUCGAGUGUUUAUCAAACUGCAAAUAUUCUAAUCCCUAGAUAAUGAACUUCUAAUACUAGUCAAUCCAAUCUCUUGGCAGAAACUAUCAAGUUUACAACACUUCCUAAUCUCAAUUCUCAUUGAUGAAACAUGUAAUAAACAUGCAUAAAGAAACAGCUCAUUAAUGUCAAUAAACAUCUUAGACAACCAAUCUCUUGGGCUAAGAAUGUAAAUCUCUGGCACUAGUUGGUUCAGACAUUUCAUCAUAUACCUUUCGGGCAUAAAAUGUCUAUAACCCAGUUCCAAUUGAUCAGAGAAGAUCUAGCUAAUAAAACUCUAAUACAGAAGGGAAACAAAACGAAUCUAAUAUAAACACUCUAGCAAACUAACAUCCUCCACCUAAUCUAUCCCAUCCUCAAGAACCCUAACACUACUCAGACUCAGAAAUUAUGUUAAACAUCAUGAAACAAGAAUCGUUCAAAACAUGCAUAAUAAUAAAGAUGACAGGAAGAGUAACAACAAUGAUUCAAAAAUAUCAAUAGCUCAAAAGAAAUCACGACUACAAUUCUCAGGAUUGUUUGGUGGCUAUCAACAAAAACCUAAUAAAAAAUACUCGAUCCCCUAGGCAAUCCAAAUGAGACCUAUUUAUAACAAUGUUUCGGAAAACCUUAAAACAUAAAACGACAACGUAAAACGCGGUUUAAGAGUUAUCGUGACUAUGUCGGUCGAGUGAGUAUCUCGAGUGAGAAACUCGAGUGAGCAUCUUCUCUGCUUUGCUCGAUCGUGUCACUCGAGUGUGUAGGUCGAGUGACGGUCGAUCCUGUUUUGCAUUCCUUCGGUUUAUUUGAUCCACCUAGUCUGUCCACCACUCGAUCGACUACACUAUCAACCUUCUCGAUCACGUCCGCAAAAUGAAGUAUGUUUCUUCUACGCAUCUCUGCUUUUCACUCGAUCGUUCCACUCGAUCAUGUGCAUGUCGAGUAACGCUUGUUCCUCUGCUUCGCUCUGCAUGUCUCCUAAGUACCUGAAACAUUCCAAAUAUGCAGAAUGUAUGCAAGACAUGCAUGAUAUGCGUAAAACCUACCUAAGUAUGUAAAACAUGCAUAAAGGGAUCAAUAUGAUGCCAAUCAACAAGUGAAUGAUGCUGAAAGGAUGAUGAAUACAUGCUCAAAAAGUGAUGAAAUACAGACUUAUAUACUCCCCCAAAUUUAUUAUUUGCUUGCCCUCAAGCAAAGCAAAAAGAAACAAAGUGGAAGAGAGGUUUGAAAAUAGGGUCUCAGAACCUGUAACUUGCAAGAUAGAGCUGUUAAAAUCAAUGUCCUGGUUGCUAAGUCUUUGAUGCAUGCUGAGAGAACUUUACUUAAAGACUUUAGACAAACUCAUCAAAUCCGAAACUGAUUCUAUCCCUUGAUCUACACAUGCAUUCAAAUCAUUCACUCCUUUUAACAUUCAUUACUUAAAAAUAUGAAUCUGGUUGUGCAAGGCUUAACAAACUCACUUGGCUAGGCAGAAAAAGGUUUUGAGAAUCAAGAGGGUUUAAACAAUUUCAGGACAAAGAUCUCUCAAUGAAUGGAUUGAGCUUUAGGGAGAAUGCUAAAGGUGAGGACCAACAAAUGCAUACAUGAAUAAAACCUUGACUACCCAAUGGUUCCCAAGUGCUUACUCCUAGUCAUCUAAACCCGAAUGAUCCCUAUGUCCACCCUUCAACAUCAAUCCCAUUUUUUUUCUUUUUGCCUUAGGAGAAGUUUCUUAUCAACACUAGUGGAUAGAGGGUCUCUUCCUUACUAUGGUUCUUUUUCUUCUUAUGCUAUAAGACAUCAAAACAUUUUCUCUUUCUUUACAUCCUAGAACCAUUCUCUGAAUAUCAUGCUGUUCCCACAAAAAUCGAUCACUAGAGUAUAAACUUCUUGAAAAACAUUCUCCUCCUAAGGACACAACUUUCUGUUUCUCUUCUUUCCUUUCACAAUCUUUCCAUUCCAAAACCCAAGUAAGAAUCCAGACCUAGUCCUAUCUGAUUUGAAAGUGAAAAUCAGAACUACUCAAGAUUUUAAUCCUGUCGACUCAUACCUAACACGUUCUCCCCAAGCAUAAUCCGGUAAAAGACCUACCACUAAAAAA